GUAUCACCCAUGUCAUGUUGCCCGUUUAGGGGUAUAAAUUAGUGUUGGCGAGAUGAAGCCUCAUGAAGCAUUGAAGCUUUUCAGCCAAGUGGUCCACAAAAGGGUUCAUUUCUCGAGGCUUCAUUUGCUCACAAUACCACCUGGUGGUCAAAGAGUGUAAAACAAGCGAUACAUUACAGAUGACCUGAUGUGAUCUGUGAUGCACUUCAUUUUGCGGCAGUUAAAACUUAGAAAUAACGGUGAAGAAAAAAUCAAUUUCCACAAAGACUAAUAUAUUUUUAUGAAUGUAAUGUGUAUUUACUAGUUGUAUGUAAUGAUUGUAUAAUAUAACUGUGUAAUAAAGGUAUUGGCUUCAAAUGAA